UUCUUGUAUCCAAUCUUCCCAAAUUUGUUCCUAUUGCUUUUCCGCAUCUUCUUCAGAUUCUUUUCGUUGUGCGCUAUGUCAGCAUUCUGUUCACAAAAAUUGUUUCUUUAAGUAUAAAAAUGUCGCUCCUUGGUCUUAUUCUUGUAUGGAUUCUGAGUUUUCUGUGUGUGUGGAUUGCUGGGUUCCUAAACAUGUGGAAGUUUCUAGGAGAAGAAGUAUGAGAAGUUUAAGAAAAUUAAAGAGUGGUGUGGUUUUGAAAAAGGGUAGGGUUGAGUUAGAGAAAGAGGGUUCUAGGGUUUUGAAGGGUGGAAAGAUGAUCAGAUCUAUGGAGGAUGUGGUUAAAGAUGGUAACUGUAAGGUGAAGAGGAAGAUUGAAGCGGUUGCUAGGACUCGAGAUGUGGUGGCGAAGGGAGGUGUGGUGGGUAAAAGGGCUGUUGAGCUGGGGAAUAGGGAAGAAAGUACUCUGAAUCUGCCUCCCAAAAUGGAUUCGGUUAAAUUUGGUGUUGAAGAGAUUGGGGAAGAGACGUUUAGGAAGGGGAGGGAAGUUGUUCUGAUCGGCUAAUAAACUUAAGCCGAGAAGAUUGGGGAUUGGAACUUGAUCGCAAGCAAGGUGAUUCUGCAUCUCAUGAGGAAGAGCUGAAAGAUCGUUAUUUCUUGAAGUAUUUUAGGAGGAGGCCAGAUCGUUAUCACUUGAAGUACAGUAGGAGGACAAAUCGUUAUUUCGUGAAGUAUAGUAGGAGGAAAUCAGAUCGUUAUAUCUUGAAGUAUAGUAGGAGAAAUUGUUUAAAACCAAGUCUUAAUAGCCUUGAGAAUCAAGAUUUGAUUGUGUAGAUUCCAUUCAAUUACAUAUCCAAUGCUUCAUGUCAUUCAUGUAAUGCUACUUUACAAUAAUCAGCUUUUGAAAGCUGAUAUUUCAGAGAUCUGUCGUAAAAUGGAAUUGGUACAUAAUUGUUCUCUUGUUAUUUUUCUUAAUUAAAAUUUGAAGCUGUUGUUAUUCACAUUGUCUAUUUUUAUUUCUAUCUUAUUUUCUCUUAUGCUCUUACUUUUACUUUCAAACCAAUGGGAAAGAUGAACAAAGGCCUAAUAAAGAAUGUAAGUUAUGCAGACUGGAAAAGGAAUAAUGAUUAGAAAAUGUAUCAGUAAUUUCAUCGAUGAAAUGAUAGUAGGCAAUAUGGUGCCUUCUAUAAUGCUGGAAGUAGAAUUUCGUAUACUUGAUCACAGUUUGACAAUAUUUCAUUUCAAGGUACCAAUUAUGUAACUGGUUUUAACUUGAUUCUAUAUGUUUCAUUGAAGUUUAGCUGUAUGAUCUUUUAAAUCUUUACCCUUCUUUUUGCUUGUUGUGAUGUUUCAUUAACUAAGCCCGAUUUUACCCUGAAAUCAAUUCUGGUCUACCUUAUAAAAUGUUCAUAAAUGAGUCUUUGACAAGACUUCAGAUAAAUGUUGGAUUAUGAAAUUAGCAUUCUGAUUGAGUAGAUAGCUGGAACCGGAAGUGUUUCAGUAGUUUUUCAUAAGGUUGACUGCUAUUUUAAUGUGAAGUUGUUUUCAACUUUAUAUGUUUUCAUUUUAAUAGUGAUGAAAUGCUUCACUUUUCCUGUCUUGAUCAAUGGUUGCAUAUAAUGGUUUUUACUUUUUACUGACAUGUGCUGUAUUUUGAACCUAAUUUAUCUUGAUUUUUUACUCUUAUACUAUUGACAUUGUUUUUUUACUGUUUGUCAAAAUUACUCGGUAUCUGUGUAGUCUAAACAAACAGAAUUGUUGCUGGGAUUGUUUAACCUCUGAAAACUUGAGCUAAAAUGUGAAGCUACUGAUUUUAUAGACACUUGUGUAUCAUUCAGCUUCUUGCUUCAAGAGUUGAGACCACAUAUAUUUUGCCAUUCAUUGGAUUCACUUACCUUAGGUAGUGACAAAUUUGGAGAAAUGGAAAUAAAUUACUCUGCAUUUUAGACAUGGUUUGAUUGCAUGGUUAACUCCUUUUAACCAUUCUAUUUAUAGACUAGAUGUUUUUUGCUUACCUUUCUCUGUUUUUCUGCCAUAAGAAAAUGAGAUCUCAAUAUUAUUGAUGGCUGUUAACUAAUUUUUUAUUCUCUUAGGUAUGUUUUCCUAAUUUUCUAUGUAGCUGACCAUAAAGUUUCUUACUAGUAGUACUAUAUCAAUUUCAAAAUGGUCACAAAUUUCAAAAUCAAAGAAGAAGAAAACUUAUAUAUGAAGAAACUUAAUGGUUCGAUGAUUUUGGACCAAAGCAUUUCCAUUUCACGUUGGGAAGCUUAUACAGAUGACAAUAAUUGGAACAGGCAUAACGUUGAAGACAAUAUUACAUGCUCUCAAGUUUUUCCGCUAUAAUUUGCUAUAAUGGUGCCGCAAAUAGGCCAGUAUAUAAUUGCAGGUUUUUCCGCUAUAAUCUACUAUAAUGAUAAAAACAUGCAGCCCGUGUCCGUCGAUUAAUUCUUUCCAUGAGUUCCGAUUCAACUGGAAACUAUAAUUUGAGUUUGAAGAUAAGAUUAUACCCGAGAAAGUAGUUUCAAUUCAUUACUUACUCGUUAUGUUUGAUUGAUGUGCAUGUAAAUCUGAAAGAUUUGAUCAUAUCGACUCUUAAAGAGGCUUUUGAGGUCUUUUGCAACAAAGGUGUUGCUGGAAACUCUAGUGCAGAACUUCUUGCCACUUUUUGUGAUAACAUUCUCAACAAAGGAUGCUUUCAUUAUUUUAUGGACUUUGGCAGUACAUGUUCAACAAGUUAAAGCUUCAUGUACUCAUUUUAGGGAUUGACAAGGCUGGCAAAACGACUUUGCUUGAGAAGAUGAAGUCGGUGUACACGAACGUAGAAGGUCUUCCUCCGGAUCGAAUUGUGGAAAGCAAUUGCUUCUCCAGGGCGUGGUAUUUUGGCCAUGGAUGAAUCCAAUGCUACAUGUGGAAAGCGGUUGAAUUCAAUUGGACUAGAGAACACCGAAGCUAACCGUCAAGCAUGGCGUAAAAUUAUAUAUGAAGAAAGUGUUAUGACUUGGUUAAAAUAUAAUUUUUAUGUGUAUGAUUUUAUAGUACUUGAAAUAUUAUGAAUGCACAUGAUAUUGUAUACUUUUUGGUUAAUAUUAAAAAUAUUUUGACUUAGUUAAAAUAUGAUUUUAUAGUAUUUGCAAUAUUAUGAAUGAAAAUGAAAUAUAACUAAAUGGUCUAUAUGA